rnacentral:lncRNA from 1 species
GUCUUGCUAUGCAGUUCAGGCUGGCCUUGAGCUCACUGUGUAGCCCACGCUGGUCUCAAACUCUCAACGAUCCUCCUGCCUCAGCCUCCCGAGUGCUGGAAUUACAGGAGCAUGCCACCACGCCCGGCAUAAUGUUGGGUUUCUAAAGCAACCAACAACUGGCCACUUCCAGAUUUCUUCCACUGUGAGAAAAUAAAAUCACGUUUAAGCCUAAAAGCUUUGGGAUGGAUGCAGUUCUCAAGUGUGCUCUAUCUGCGCUCUUUGGACGUUGCACUUGCCCCACUCCUUGUUCUCAUCUUGACUGUUAUCAAUCAGUAAGAAAAGGGAACAGGCAUUCCUCAGCUUCUAGAAUUGCACUUGGUGCAAUGAAGGAACAUGCAGGUACACACUGGAAGCAGCUGGAGGCCAUUGAAAAAGCACACGUUCUAGACUUCUCCCUAAAUACUGAACACUGAACAAGAAUCUUUGGAGAUGAAGAAGAGAAAUCUUGUAUUUUUUAACAACUCAAGAUGAAUCUGAUGCAGGUAGUCUUUGGACUCUUGUAAAGCAGUGCUUAAAAAUAGGGUUAUUCUAGAGCCAAAUUUCUGGGCCCUCUAAGUCUUUUAUUCUGCUAGAAUUAAGCUGGGGCAGUAGUGCAUUAUUGUAAUCCCAGCUCCUCAGGAGGCUGAGGCAGGAGGAUCACAAGUCCAAGGUUAACCUGGGCAAUUUAGCAAGACCCUGCCCCAAAAUAAAAGUGGUUAGAGAUGCAGCUCUGUGCUUCCUUAGUAUGUGUAAGUUCCUAGGUUCAAUCUCUAGUACUGUAGAAAUAAAACAUCUUUCUAAAAUUAAAC